UACAGAGGUGGCAAGCGUUGUUCGGAAUUACUGGGCGUAAAGGGCGCGUAGGCGGCCUACUAAGUCAGACGUGAAAUCCCCCGGCUUAACCUGGGAACUGCGUCUGAUACUGGAAGGCUUGAGGAUGGGAGAGGGAUGUAGAAUUCCAGGUGUAGCGGUGAAAUGCGUAGAUAUCUGGAGGAACACCGGUGGCGAAGGCGGCAUCCUGGACCGGUAUUGACGCUGAGGCGCGAAAGCUAGGGGAGCAAACGGG
rnacentral:rRNA from 1 species